AUUCUACUCCCUCCGUUGCACAAUACAUGCCUUCUAUUUGUCAAAAUAUAUAUAUGUAUCUAGACAUGUUUUAGUAUAUAGGUACAUCCAUUUUUGGACAAAUGGAAGUCAAGUAUUUUGGAAUGGAGGGAGUACACA
rnacentral:pre_miRNA from 1 species